AGCGAACGCUGGCGGCAGGCCUAACACAUGCAAGUCGAACGAACCUUUCGGGGUUAGUGGCGGACGGGUGAGUAACACGUGGGAACGUGCCUUUAGGUUCGGAAUACCUCAGGGAAACUUGUGCUAAUACCGAAUGUGCCCUUCGGGGGAAAGAUUUAUCGCCUUUAGAGCGGCCCGCGUCUGAUUAGCUAGUUGGUUGAGGUAAUGGCUCACCAAGGCGACGAUCAGUAGCUGGUCUGAGAGGAUGAUCAGCCACAUUGGGACUGAGACACGGCCCAAACUCCUACGGGAGGCAGCAGUGGGGAAUCUUGCGCAAUGGGCGAAAGCCUGACGCAGCCAUGCCGCGUGAAUGAUGAAGGUCUUAGGAUUGUAAAAUUCUUUCAACGGGGACGAUAAUGACGGUACCCGGAGAAGAAGCCCCGGCUAACUUCGUG
rnacentral:rRNA from 1 species